rnacentral:rRNA from 1 species
AUGGCGUCAUGGUCGGAUCUCCCCGGAGAGCUUCUACGCAUCAUCAUCGCCGCCCUCCCCAACCCGAUUCACCACGCUCGCUUCCAAGCAGUCUGCCGUUCCUGGCGCUCUGUCCCGUCUCCGCGCAAGCUACCCGGGGUCCUGCUCCCAACAGGAUCCCUGUUGCUGCCCUUUGACAGCGCCCCCCACAGAAUGUUUCCCCUCCCAGAAAACCAGCGCUUCGUUGGCUCCACCGACUGUUUUCUCACCAUCGAUGUCAUCGAUGCUCACAACAAGCAUACAUACGUGCUCACUAAUCCUUUCUCAAGGACCAUGCUGGAGCUCCCGGAGCUUGACGCUGUCAUCGGCAAUGUUCCCGAAACCUUUGGGAUCCACAAGGUGCUCACGCACUCUGGCCUCCAUGGUCUCGUCGUCAUAAGGACCGACAACCGCAAUCAUCCCAUCAUCUUGCUAAACCCAGGCAAGGGUGUGUGGUUACCCAAGCCACGACAUCAACCCUUCACUCGCAUCAUCGACGUCGCGUUUCUCGGAGACACACUCUAUGCCAUCACACAGGCUGAGAACCUCAUCUCCUUGGGCGUCGCCUUUUAUACCAAGGGCAUACCCACGGUGACCAGCAUUAAGCGCGUCAUCACAGGCCCGAUUGUCACUCUUGAGAAAGACAAAGAUGCACCGGGAAAUAGAUCACCCCACGACUACAUAAUUAAUGACGCUAUCCAUUUGGCACGCGACCACGAGAGACCUCAUGUUGAUAUCCUGACCGCCUGGUACCUGGUACAAUCGCAUGGGAAGCUGCUUAUGGUGAGACGCGAGAUGGAAUGUACUAGCUACCUUGAAGGUUUCACUCGUAAGGUGGAGGUUUUUGAAGCGGACAUCGGUGCAAGAACGUGGGUGCCCGUGUCGACUGGUCUACAUGGCCAUGCGCUCUUUCUUAGCAAACACUCUAGCAAGUCUAUUGUUGCGGGUGACGAGAUUGAAGAAGAUGCUAUUUAUUUUAUUGACAACGGUGAAGUAUUCAACCUGAGAUCCAAGACUACAAGCCCCCCAAAUAAAGAUUUCGGUUUCGAUGCGAUGUGGCUUUUUUAUCCCAGUUCAUUGUAG